UAAACUCAAUUACAUUGAAGUCACAGUG
rnacentral:sRNA from 1 species